UUGGAGGGCAAGUCUGGUGCCAGCAGCCGCGGUAAUUCCAGCUCCAAUAGCGUAUAUUAAAGUUGUUGCAGUUAAAAAGCUCGUAGUUGAAUUUCGGGAUCAAAUUGUCGGUCGUGCCUCGGUACGCACUGGUAUUAUUGGUUCCUACCUUCUGAAGAACCGCGAUGUCAUUAAUUUGGUGUCGUGGGGAAUCAGGACUGUUACUUUGAAAAAAUUAGAGUGUUUAAAGCAGGCUUACGCUUGAAUACAUUAGCAUGGAAUAAUGAAAUAGGACGUUUGAUUCUAUUUUGUUGGUUUCUAGGAUUGACGUGAUGAUUAAUAGGGAUAGUUGGGGGCAUUAGUAUUCAAUUGUCAGAGGUGAAAUUCUUGGAUUUAUUGAAGACUAACUACUGCGAAAGCAUUUGCCAAGGAUGUUUUCAUUAAUCAAGAACGAAAGUUAGGGGAUCGAAGACGAUCAGAUACCGUCGUAGUCUUAACCAUAAACUAUGCCGACUAGGGAUCGGAUGAUGUUAAUUUUUCAAUGACUCAUUCGGCGCCUUACGGGAAACCAAAGUGUUUGGGUUC
rnacentral:rRNA from 1 species